rnacentral:rRNA from 1 species
CCUACGGGCGGCAGCAGUGGGGAAUAUUGGGCAAUGGGCGCAAGCCUGACCCAGCAACGCCGCGUGAAGGAAGAAGGCUCUAGGGUUGUAAACUUCUUUUCUGAGGGACGAAGAAAGUGACGGUACCUCAGGAAUAAGCCACGGCUAACUACGUGCACGCAGACGCGGUAAUACGUAGGUGGCAAGAGUUAGCCGGAUUUAUUGGGUGUAAAGGGCGUGUAGGCGGGAAGGCAAGUCAGAUGGGAAAACUCAGGGCUCAACCCUGAGCCUGCAUUUGAAACUGUUUUUCUUGAGUGCUGGAGAGGCAAUCGGAAUUCGGUGUGUAGCGGUGAAAUGCGUAGAUAUACGGAGGAACACCAGUGGCGAAGGCGGAUUGCUGGACAGUAACUGACGCUGAGGCGCGAAAGCGUGGGGAGCAAACAGGAUUAGAUACCCGGGUAGUC